rnacentral:rRNA from 1 species
AACGAACGCUGGCGGCAUGCUUAACACAUGCAAGUCGAACGCUCCGGUUUCGGCCGGGGAGUGGCGCACGGGUGAGUAGCGCGUGGGAACCUGCCCUCUUGUGGGGGAUAACCGAUGGAAACGUCGGCUAAUACCGCAUGCGCCCGGGGCAACCCGGGGAAAGAUUUAUCGCAGGAGGAGGGGCCCGCGUCGGAUUAGCUAGUUGGUGGGGUAACGGCCUACCAAGGCUAUGAUCCGUAGCUGGUCUGAGAGGAUGAUCAGCCACACUGG